UGAGCCGAAGUCGGACACUUAACCAACUGAGCCACCCAGGUCCUGCUCCCUGAGCUCAGCUGGACUGACACAAUCAGUAACAGAUGCUGUUUGGAACUUAUUCAUGCCUGUCACUGAAACUGACCUUGAACCAGAGUCCUUGAACCAAACUUGUGAGCCUGGUGUCUCUUUUCCCCUGGUCUCAUGGCUGUUACGGUGCUUCUUGAUACAAAUAAAGCCUUUGCUAUACCCAGA